ensembl:snoRNA small nucleolar RNA, C/D box 113-5
UGGAUCAAUGAUGAAUAGUGGUGCAGGUAUCUGAGUCAACACACCCCUUUCAUUAAGUCUCUGUGACUCUGAGGUCCAU